AGCCUCGUAACUCAGCUGGUAGAGCCUGCGCGUACAAAGCGUAGGCGGAGUUCAUGCGUGGGUUCGAAUCCCACCGAAGGUA
rnacentral:tRNA from 1 species